rnacentral:rRNA from 1 species
AGAGUUUGAUCCUGGCUCAGGAUGAACGCUGGCGGCGUGCUUAACACAUGCAAGUCGAACGGACCCAUAUUGAAACCUAGUGAUAUAUGGGUUAGUGGCGGACGGGUGAGUAACGCGUGGGUAACCUGCCUUACACAGGGGGAUAACACUUAGAAAUAGGUGCUAAAACCGCAUAAGCGCACAGCUUCGCAUGAAGCGGUGUGAAAAACUCCGGUGGUGUAAGAUGGACCCGCGUCUGAUUAGCUUGUUGCGGGGUAACGGCCCACCAAGGCGACGAUCAGUAGCCGGCCUGAGAGGGCGGACGGCCACAUUGGGACUGAGACACGGCCCAGACUCCUACGGGAGGCAGCAGUGGGGAAUAUUGCACAAUGGGGGAAACCCUGAUGCAGCGACGCCGCGUGAGUGAAGAAGUAAUUCGCUACGUAAAGCUCUAUCAGCAGGGAAGAAAAUGACGGUACCUGAGUAAGAAGCCCCGGCUAACUACGUG